GCCCCUUUAGCUCAGUGGUAGAGCGUUCCACUCGUACAAAGCUUUAGUGAGGAGGUUGGAUAUGGAAAGGUCUGGUGUUCAAUCCACCAAAAGGGCA